AUAGGUGUGCUGAAAUUGGUAACCAGGUUUCACUUAGGAUGGAAUAGUAUAUCUUUGCAAGUUCAAGUCUUGUCACCUAUA
rfam:Lasallia pustulata genome assembly, contig: scaffold26805_size937